CUAAACAAAAAUUGAUAGAGUUAUGGCAGUAAGUACCGUAAAAGCUAGUCUUGUGGUGAUGUUAAUCACUAUGUUAGUUGUAAUACAAGUUGAAUCCAUCCCUCAAUCUGAAGAAUUUAAAUCUACCAAGUUGGUACAGCCAUUUUGUGAAAUAAAAUGUGACGCAGAAUGUAUCAAAAAGAAUCUGGGUGCGGAGUUUGAUAAUUGUGUGAGAGAAUGUAGAAAACAUUGCUAACAAAGUCAUCCUUAACUUAAGCCAUGGUGUGUGCAUGUCGUGCAUACAUACAUUGCUAUGUGCUGGAGAGUUUCAGUGAUAAUAAAUAAGUAAUUCGUAUGUAUUGCGAAAUUCAAUGUAAUAAAAUGUAUCACGAAACUUAAAUAAAAAUAUAUUAAGUAUUA